rnacentral:rRNA from 1 species
UAGGGAAUCUUCGGCAAUGGACGAAAGUCUGACCGAGCAACGCCGCGUGAGUGAAGAAGGUUUUCGGAUCGUAAAACUCUGUUGUUAGAGAAGAACAAGGACGUUAGUAACUGAACGUCCCCUGAUGGUAUCUAACCAGAAAGCCACGGCUAACUACGUGCCAGCAGCCGCGGUAAUACGUAGGUGGCAAGCGUUGUCCGGAUUUAUUGGGCGUAAAGCGAGCGCAGGCGGUUUCUUAAGUCUGAUGUGAAAGCCCCCGGCUCAACCGGGGAGGGUCAUUGGAAACUGGGAGACUUGAGUGCAGAAGAGGAGAGUGGAAUUCCAAGUGUAGCGGUGAAAUGCGUAGAUAUAUGGAGGAACACCAGUGGCGAAGGCGGCUCUCUGGUCUGUAACUGACGCUGAGGCUCGAAAGCGUGGGGAGCAAACAGG